rnacentral:lncRNA from 1 species
GUGUUGAGUUCCUCUAAAGCAGGCCAGUGGCAGAAAACUUGAUGCUGUCAUAGCUGCGACCUAUGGUGGUCGCCCAAGCUCUAGGAGUCAAAGAUGUGUGAAAGUAAUACCUCAGGGCACAGCUCCUGGUGUGAGGUCCCCAGGUACAUCCCUUGUUGUUAUUGUUAGCUCUCUCCACAGGGUAGGAAUGUAACUUAGCAGGAAAACAUUUGCCUAGUAGGUUAGUAGGUGCAAAACUGUGAGUUUUAUCCCUAGCACUGUGGGGGUCGAGGGGAGAUAUGAGAGAGAGUAUAAAAGAGAUUGUACUGGUGUAGUGACACACUGGUAUUCCCAGCACUUGGGAGGCAGAGACAGAAGGGUUGUGAGUUCGAGGUCAGCCUGGACGAUGUAACAAAAUUUAUCUUUAAAAAAAAAAAAGUUCUAUUUUCUGAUUCCCAAAGCCAGGGCUUUCUCCACUGUUAGUCUGCCUUCUCUUUUUGCUAAAAACUCCAAUCUUUUUUACAGACUAAAUCUAACUGCAAUGGAGAAUGCCAAAUAACGUUUAUUGGGGGAGGGGCAGAGGAACAGUAUUUACCCAUAUUACAGACACUCUUGCCUAUUAGGUAGCCACUUCUAGAAAUCCGAGCUGUAUAUGUCCUGGCGUGAGUGGAGAGUGUGUGAAAGAUCAGGCAGUGUGGCCGUUAGGAUGAGCAGAAAGUCAGAUUCAGCAUCAGUAUUUGGAGAGACUGGUACUGAUGCUGCUCAAUACAGAGAGGAGGGACUAGGCACCUCUUCCCAGCCAAACCGGUUGUUACAUAAAAUGCGAAGAAUGGAGCAGUUCGUGGUCAAGUGUGUGUAUCGCAGUCCCGUGCAUGUAAGAAAGGAGGUAGGUUACAGCAUAUCCUUAUGCUGGAGCCCUUGGUUAAAUUCCUGGCAUCACCCAAAACAAAGGGGCAGUAGGGUAAAGAAAUGUCUGUCUGGGGUUGGGGAUUUAGCUCAGUGGUAGAGCGCUUGCCUAGGAAGCGGAAGGCCCUGGGUUCGGUCCCCAGCUCCGGGAAAAAAAAAAAAAAAAAA